rnacentral:rRNA from 1 species
UACGAAGGGGGCUAGCGUUGCUCGGAAUCACUGGGCGUAAAGCGCACGUAGGCGGCUUUCUAAGUCAGGGGUGAAAUCCUGGAGCUCAACUCCAGAACUGCCUUUGAUACUGGAAAGCUUGAGUUCGGGAGAGGUGAGUGGAACUGCGAGUGUAGAGGUGAAAUUCGUAGAUAUUCGCAAGAACACCAGUGGCGAAGGCGGCUCACUGGCCCGAUACUGACGCUGAGGUGCGAAAGCGUGGGGAGUAAACAGG